GCAAACCGACCAACGUAAAAAAGCUGGCGGUCUGCCGGCGUUUCUUGGGUGGCAAGCCACCAGCGGCUUGCCGCUGCUGGACCACCGUUGGUACACCAGUGGCAAACCGCUAGGUUUCUACUGAAACUAAGAAUUAUAAUAAUCUUAAGAAAAUACAUGAAAAACAAUAUGAGACUGCAUAUAGGGCUUAUUUAACGAAAUACAUACAUAUUUUUUUAAUAUUUCAGUUUAAAAGAAUAAAAAUAGAAUAAAAAAAUAAGAGAUAUACAUAGUGUUUAAUACAAUAUAGUACGUGCAGGCGUGGUAAUUUGGACAUAUAUGAAUUAGACAACAAAACGAGUUUGUGAUUUCAUAAUAAUUUGAGGAGAUUUUACAUUGUUGUAGUGAUUAUGUCAAUGUGUGACUUUGCCAUGACGCGUGUGCUGUGCACGCUAAACACGUGCCCUUUUUAAAACACUAGGCUUGUUACUUCAUGCGGCGCUGCAAGAACCGACAGCGAUGACGUCAAAGUACCGCGAGAACGAUUCGAGAACUCAUACGAAGUGUAAUUUCGUCUCGCUCUCGCGGCACUUUAACGUCAUCCGCCUGUCAGUUCUAGCGUGGCCGCAGGAAGUCGAACAGCCUUCUUUCUCAACACGGAUUACCAUGAGGCGGACUGACGAGUGACGACUACAACGAGCUCCUCUUUCACGGGUUUCUUUACUGUUUUCAGGAGUGACAAAAUAACCUCUAUAAAAGCUGAAGAUUUCAACAUUUUCUGAAGGGAGCUACAGACAGAGAUGUAAACUCAGAUUUUCCAGGCUAAUAUCCGUGCAGCAGAUUGAAGCAGACCUGUCAGAAAACAUCUCUAAGGUGCUAUGAAUCUCAUAACUAGAUACACAUCAUAAGAUAACUAGAGCUUACGUCUCUGUUUGGAUCCAGCCUCACUUGUGAAGACUUCAGAUGGCGUAAACACUCAAAAAGACAUUGUAUGAUGGCAUCUAUAGAUGGACAUACACAACUGGCAAAUGUAAUAUAUUGUAAUUACUGCACCAAAGCACAACUCUGCAGAUUUUCAACUCACUUAAUAUUGUUACAAAUACAAUAGAUGUUUAUAUUUGAAAAACAUUUUUUUACUCUUUAUUUACUUUUUAAUUUUACUGAUUUAAUUCCAUUUAUUUGUCCACAAUACUCGUCCAAAAUGAUGUUUUGCAUCAUCCAAAUAUUGUUAAUUUACAUAUUACAGACAUUGUAACAACACAAAGUGGGUUGAAAUCCUGCUAACUUAUCCUAUAAUAAUAACUGUCUGUUAACUAAACAUGGCUUUGACACAUGACUUGUAUUAUAUUAGAGCUGUUGUGAUAUGAAUAUUGAUUUGUUUCCAGAAUAUGCUCCUCAGUGUGUCACACUCACCUCUGGC